rnacentral:rRNA from 1 species
GGGGCAGCAUGGUCUUAGCUUGCUAAGGCUGAUGGCGACCGGCGCACGGGUGAGUAACACGUAUCCAACCUGCCGUCUACUCUUGGCCAGCCUUCUGAAAGGAAGAUUAAUCCAGGAUGGCAUCAUGAGUUCACAUGCCCGCAUGAUUAAAGGUAUUUUCCGGUAGACGAUGGGGAUGCGUUCCAUUAGAUAGUAAGCGGGGUAACGGCCCACCUAGUCAACGAUGGAUAGGGGUUCUGAGAGGAAGGUCCCCCACAUUGGAACUGAGACACGGUCCAAACUCCUACGGGAGGCAGCAGUGAGGAAUAUUGGUCAAUGGGCGAUGGCCUGAACCAGCCAAGUAGCGUGAAGGAUGACUGCCCUAUGGGUUGUAAACUUCUUUUAUAAAGGAAUAAAGUCGGGUAUGCAUACCCGUUUGCAUGUACUUUAUGAAUAAGGAUCGGCUAACUCCGUGCCAGCAGCCGCGGUAAUACGGAGGAUCCGAGCGUUAUCCGGAUUUAUUGGGUUUAAAGGGAGCGUAGAUGGAUGUUUAAGUCAGUUGUGAAAGUUUGCGGCUCAACCGUAAAAUUGCAGUUGAUACUGGAUGUCUUGAGUGCAGUUGAGGCAGGCGGAAUUCGUGGUGUAGCGGUGAAAUGCUUAGAUAUCACGAAGAACUCCGAUUGCGAAGGCAGCCUGCUAAGCUGCAACUGA